CGGACGGGUGAGUAACGCGUGAGAAUCUGCCCUCAGGAGGGGGACAACAGCUGGAAACGGCUGCUAAUACCCCAUAUGCCGCGAGGUGAAAUGAAUUUCGCCUGAGGAUGAGCUCGCGUCUGAUUAGCUAGUUGGUGAGGUAAUGGCUCACCAAGGCAUCGAUCAGUAGCUGGUCUGAGAGGAUGAUCAGCCACACUGGGACUGAGACACGGCCCAGACUCCUACGGGAGGCAGCAGUGGGGAAUUUUCCGCAAUGGGCGAAAGCCUGACGGAGCAACGCCGCGUGAGGGAUGAAGGCCUCUGGGCUGUAAACCUCUUUUAUCAAGGAAGAAGAUCUGACGGUACUUGAUGAAUAAGCCACGGCUAAUUCCGUGCCAGCAGCCGCGGUAAUACGGGAGUGGCAAGCGUUAUCCGGAAUUAUUGGGCGUAAAGCGUCCGCAGGCGGCCCUUCAAGUCUGCUGUUAAAAAGUGGAGCUUAACUCCAUCAUGGCAGUGGAAACUGUUGGGCUUGAGUGUGGUAGGGGCAGAGGGAACUCCCGGUGUAGCGGUGAAAUGCGUAGAUAUCGGGAAGAACACCAGUGGCGAAGGCGCUCUGCUGGGCCAUCACUGACGCUCAUGGACGAAAGCCAGGGGAGCGAAAGGGAUUAGAUACCCCAGUAGUC
rnacentral:rRNA from 1 species